AGCUUUGCGCAGUGGCAGUAUCGUAGCCUAUGAGGUUUAUCCGAGGCGCGAUUAUUGCUAAUUGAAAACUUUACCCUAUACAUGGGUUUCAUGUGACGUCACUGUAUUCUAUCGCCGCCAUAUUUGGGACCGGUCACAGCUG